UACGGAGGGAGCAAGCGUUGUUCGGAAUUACUGGGCGUAAAGAGCGUGUAGGCGGUUUAUCAAGUCGGGCGUGAAAUCCCAGGGCUCAACCCUGGAACUGCGUUCGAAACUGAUAGGCUAGAGUUCGGUAGAGGAUGGUGGAAUUCCUAGUGUAGAGGUGAAAUUCGUAGAUAUUAGGAGGAACACCAGAGGCGAAGGCGACCAUCUGGGCCGAUACUGACGCUGAGACGCGAAAAGCGUGGGGAGCAAACAGGAUUAGAUACCCCCGUAGUCC
rnacentral:rRNA from 1 species